GUCACGCCCGAAGUCGUUACCCUAACCGCAAGGAGGGGGAUGCCGAAGGCAGGGCUGAUGACUGGGGUGAAGUCGUAACAAGGUAGCCGUACCGGAAGGUGUGGCUGGAUCACCUCCUUUUAGGGAGACCUUCUGCAUUCUCACCGCAACCCAAACAUUAAGCGGGGGAAUCAGAUAUCCCAAGGUCGUUACGAGACUAGACAAUUUCUGGCUUUCAAACUCUUUCUUCGGUUCAGCAUCAUGUUGAUCAAACAUGGGCUAUUAGCUCAGGUGGUUAGAGCGCACCCCUGAUAAGGGUGAGGUCCCUGGUUCGAGUCCAGGAUGGCCCACCUUAAGUGUUAUUCACUUAUUCUCUUUGGAACUGGGGGUAUAGCUCAGUUGGUAGAGCGCUGCCUUUGCAAGGCAGAUGUCAGCGGUUCGAGUCCGCUUACCUCCAUGUUUUCCAUAAACUGGGAUUAAGUGCUUCAUUUAAGUACCGAAUCUUCCGAACAUUCCCAAUUGAAAAAAUACAGCAACUUAUCUUGAGUUUUCUACAAAGAAAAUAGCAAGAAAGCCUGCUGGGUUUACCCAGCUUUUGAACCUUGAAAACUGCAUAAAGAAAAGAAUCAAAGGGAAAACCUUUUAAAUCUGUAAAAGAAUUUAAAAGGCAUCCAAAAAAGAAGCCCAAAUUGUGGUCAAGCUACAAAGGGCUGACGGUGGAUACCUAGGCACACAGAGG
rnacentral:misc_RNA from 1 species